rnacentral:rRNA from 1 species
UACGUAGGGUGCGAGCGUUGUCCGGAAUUAUUGGGCGUAAAGAGCUCGUAGGCGGUCUGUCGCGUCGGUCGUGAAAACUUGGGGCUUAACCCUGAGCUUGCGGUCGAUACGGGCAUGACUGGAGUUCGGCAGGGGAGACUGGAAUUCCUGGUGUAGCGGUGAAAUGCGCAGAUAUCAGGAGGAACACCGAUGGCGAAGGCAGGUCUCCGGGCCACUACUGACGCUGAGAAGCGAAAGCAUGGGGAGCGAACAGG